rnacentral:rRNA from 1 species
ANAGUUUGAUGCUGGCUCAGAAUGAACGCUAGCGGCAGGCCUAACACAUGCAAGUCGAGGGGUAACAGGAGUAGCUUGCUAUUUGCUGACGACCGGCGCACGGGUGCGUAACGCGUAUACAAUCUACCCAUUACUAAGGGAUAGCCCAUGGAAACGUGGAUUAAUACCUUAUGGUAUUUAGGAGUCACCUGACUUUUAAAUUAAAGGUUACGGUAAUGGAUGAGUAUGCGUCCUAUUAGCUAUUAUGUAGGGUAACGGCCUACAUAGGCGAUGAUAGGUAGGGGUUCUGAGAGGGAGAUCCCCCACACUGGUACUGAGACACGGACCAGACUCCUACGGGAGGCAGCAGUGAGGAAUAUUGGACAAUGGGAGCAAUCCUGAUCCAGCCAUGCCGCGUGCAGGAAGACGGUCCUAUGGAUUGUAAACUGCUUUUAUACAGGAAGAAAAAGGCCGACGUGUCGGUUAUUGACGGUACUGUAUGAAUAAGGAUCGGCUAACUCCGUGCCAGCAGCCGCGGUAAUACGGAGGAUCCGAGCGUUAUCCGGAAUUAUUGGGUUUAAAGGGUCCGUAGGCGGGAUAAUAAGUCAGUGGUGAAAGUUUGUGGCUCAACCAUAAAAUUGCCAUUGAUACUGUUAUUCUUGAGUUAUUGUGAAGUGGUUAGAAUGUGUAGUGUAGCGGUGAAAUGCAUAGAUAUUACACAGAAUACCAAUUGCGAAGGCAGAUCACUAACAAUCAACUGACGCUGAUGGACGAAAGCGUAGGUAGCGAAC